CCUACGGGAGACAGCAGUGAGGAAUAUUGGUCAAUGGACGAGAGUCUGAACCAGCCAAGUAGCGUGAAGGAUGACUGCCCUAUGGGUUGUAAACUUCUUUUAUAUGGGACUAAAAUGUUCCACGUGUGGGAUUUUGUAUGUACCAUAUGAAUAAGGAUCGGCUAACUCCGUGCCAGCAGCCGCGGUAAUACGGAGGAUCCGAGCGUUAUCCGGAUUUAUUGGGGUUAAAGGGAGCGUAGGUGGAUUGUUAAGUCAGUUGUGAAAGUUUGCGGCUCAACCGUAAAAUUGCAGUUGAAACUGGCAGUCUUGAGUACAGUAGAGGUGGGCGGAAUUCGUGGUGUAGCGGUGAAAUGCUUAGAUAUCACGAAGAACUCCGAUUGCGAAGGCAGUUCACUGGACUGCAACUGACACUGAGGCUCGAAAGUGUGGGUAUCAAACAGGAUUAGAUACCCGAGUAGUC
rnacentral:rRNA from 1 species